ensembl:lncRNA
GCAGUCCAGUCAGAGUGAGAGAAAGGUGAACAACACUGGGGGAAAAGUAUUGGUAUAGGCUGUAAAUGAACGUGCAGACAUCGCUAAAAAUGAAGCCCAUUCAAUUGUAUUUUAAGCGAAUAAGAGACGAGGAGAAAGAGUAAUCAGGCGAGGGGGAUUCGCAAGGUUCAACUAAUGAAGCCUCUUCACAAGAUUUACGUGAGGCGGUUAGCGAAGCUACGGUGACCCCGGCUGUCACUUCAACGUCCACUGUAGCCGGCGGAGGGAGAACAUAUAGAUUCAAUGCGAAUUGGCUCAAAAUGUUCCCAUGGCUAGAGUUAGAAAACAAUGUAAUGUUCUGCAAAUAUUGUAGAAGGCUGAAACAGGCGGGCAACUCGUCCUUCGUGUCAGGAAAAAGAGAGAUAGCGCAGCGAAACAUAACAUCUGGCUGCGGCAUAUCCAGUGCAGAGAUCUGAACAUGUUGAGACAGGAGACACCAUAAAGCACGGUGUCAGCAGCCUUGAGGAGACAAGUGUUUCUGUCUGAGGAGGAGACAAACAUAACAUACUAAAUUGCGAAAGAACCUUUAGUCAAAUUUGUUCGGACAACAGACUUCGGGACACUCAACGCCAUUGGUGUUUUGGAUGCCACCAAGGCCGCAUAUCGUGCUGUUUGCCCAGAGGAAGAUGGCGGGUCAUGGAUGAAGAAGUGCGUCUCCUUCGGGGCAGAUGGUGCCACCGUGGGGGAGUGAUUGACCACCUGCAGAGGGGCAGGGGGGCAUAUAAUCCCAAUCCACUAGCCCUCCAAGUGUUCCUGAGGCAUGGACAAGACAAGGACCUUACCGCCGACGAAGGCCAGUACUCCGUUGUUCUGCAACACAUCAACAACAGCGGAUGUUCAAGGGCAGGCAAAAGAAGGGUAUAACACUGAAGGGGAAUCUGAAAGGCUUCACAGACCUCACCAAUCCCUAGCUGAAGCAGCACAUGGAGGCGGCCAUCAACAUUGGUGUGGAGGAUCUCAAAGCCAUGUUUGGUGGUUUGCUGAAGAGUGAGGUAGUCCAGACCCCAGUGGAGUCUUUCAGAGUGAUCGGGGUGCAACAUGGCUGCAAUCCAGGAUGAGUGGCAGGGGCUGUCAGCCACAAUUUCAAGGACAAGUCUUAGUGGCAUGUGGGAGACCAUGUUGACAAAGGACCCCUACAGGCACGAUUACAAGAACAUACUGGAGUUGGUGCAGCUUAUGCUGGUGCUGCCCAUUUCAGCCGCCCAGUGUGAGUGAGGCUUCUCUGUGCAGAACCGGAUUAAGAUUGACAAGAAGUUGCCUUGGGGUCUCUAUCACCGAAGACCUGAUGAGGAUCAGCCUGGGGGUCUUCUGUCGAGGAGUUGGAUCCCACUCCUGCCGUGGACCGCUGGCUGACCUCUAAGCGUGCCAGACGGCCAACAUACAAAAGCAGCUGGACAACUGAUAUCCUUUGCGUCUAGUAGCCAUGAGUCAAUGUAUGAUUGGUGGUAUGUGUCCCUUAUGUGUCCCUUAGUACACACACGCAGUAAAAAUAUGUAUGUAAUAAAUUGUUUGUUAAUAAACUCUGUGUUACUUGAACAUUUUCAUUGUGCUCCUAAAUUUGUGUGCUUCUACAUUUUUUUUAAAAUUAGAAGCACAUGUACACCUUGGGGAAAAAGUUAGCAUAUAGCCCUGGUAU